GACGAACGCUGGCGGCGUGCUUAACACAUGCAAGUCGAACGGAAAGGCCCUGCUUUUGUGGGGUGCUCGAGUGGCGAACGGGUGAGUAACACGUGAGUAACCUGCCCUUGACUUUGGGAUAACUUCAGGAAACUGGGGCUAAUACCGGAUAGGAGCUCCUGCUGCAUGGUGGGGGUUGGAAAGUUUCGGCGGUUGGGGAUGGACUCGCGGCUUAUCAGCUUGUUGGUGGGGUAGUGGCUUACCAAGGCUUUGACGGGUAGCCGGCCUGAGAGGGUGACCGGCCACAUUGGGACUGAGAUACGGCCCAGACUCCUACGGGAGGCAGCAGUGGGGAAUAUUGCACAAUGGGCGGAAGCCUGAUGCAGCAACGCCGCGUGCGGGAUGACGGCCUUCGGGUUGUAAACCGCUUUCGCCUGUGACGAAGCGUGAGUGACGGUAAUGGGUAAAGAAGCACCGGCUAACUACGUGCCAGCAGCCGCGGUGAUACGUAGGGUGCGAGCGUUGUCCGGAUUUAUUGGGCGUAAAGGGCUCGUAGGUGGUUGAUCGCGUCGGAAGUGUAAUCUUGGGGCUUAACCCUGAGCGUGCUUUCGAUACGGGUUGACUUGAGGAAGGUAGGGAAGAAUGGAAUUCCUGGUGGAGCGGUGGAAUGCGCAGAUAUCAGGAGGAACACCAGUGGCGAAGGCGGUUCUCUGGGCCUUUCCUGACGCUGAGGAGCGAAAGCGUGGGGAGCGAACAGGCUUAGAUACCCUGGUAGUCCACGCUGUAAACGGUGGGUACUAGGUGUGGGGUCCAUUCCACGGGUUCCGUGCCGUAGCUAACGCUUUAAGUACCCCGCCUGGGGAGUACGGCCGCAAGGCUAAAACUCAAAGGAAUUGACGGGGCCCCGCACAAGCGGCGGAGCAUGCGGAUUAAUUCGAUGCAACGCGUAGAACCUUACCUGGGUUUGACAUGGAUCGGGAGCGCUCAGAGAUGGGUGUGCCUCUUUUGGGGUCGGUUCACAGGUGGUGCAUGGCUGUCGUCAGCUCGUGUCGUGAGAUGUUGGGUUAAGUCCCGCAACGAGCGCAACCCUUGUUCACUGUUGCCAGCACGUUAUGGUGGGGACUCAGUGGAGACCGCCGGGGUCAACUCGGAGGAAGGUGGGGAUGACGUCAAGUCAUCAUGCCCCUUAUGUCCAGGGCUUCACGCAUGCUACAAUGGCUGGUACAGAGAGUGGCGAGCCUGUGAGGGUGAGCGAAUCUCGGAAAGCCGGUCUCAGUUCGGAUUGGGGUCUGCAACUCGACCUCAUGAAGUCGGAGUCGCUAGUAAUCGCAGAUCAGCAACGCUGCGGUGAAUACGUUCCCGGGGCU
rnacentral:rRNA from 1 species